rnacentral:rRNA from 1 species
ACCCGCUGAACUUAAGCAUAUCAAUAAGCGGAGGAAAAGAAACCAACAGGGAUUGCCCUAGUAACGGCGAGUGAAGCGGCAACAGCUCAAAUUUGAAAUCUGGCCCUCGGGUCCGAGUUGUAAUUUGUAGAGGAUGCUUUUGGUGCAGUGCCUUCGAGUUCCUUGGAACAGGACGCCUUAGAGGGUGAGAGCCCCGUACGGUUGGACACUAAGCCUCUGUAAAGCUCCUUCGACGAGUCGAGUAGUUUGGGAAUGCUGCUCUAAAUGGGAGGUAAAUUUCUUCUAAAGCUAAAUACCGGCCAGAGACCGAUAGCGCACAAGUAGAGUGAUCGAAAGAUGAAAAGUACUUUGAAAAGAGGGUUAAAUAGCACGUGAAAUUGUUGAAAGGGAAGCGUUUAUGACCAGACCUUUGUCUAGCGGAUCAUCCGGUGUUCUUCACCGGUGCACUUCGCUAGGCUCAGGCCAGCAUCGGUUUCUGUAGGGGGAUAAAGACCAUGGGAACGUAGCUCUCUCCGGGGAGUGUUAUAGCCCUAGGUGUAAUACCUCUACGGGGACCGAGGUUCGCGCUUCUGCAAGGAUGCKGGCGUAAUGGUCAUCAACGACCCGUCUUGAAACACGGACC